CUUUGAGGGAUAGGGCGGUUGUCAUUUUUGCUUUCUGUAUGUUUCUUUUAUGUUCUUUAAUGUGCUGCCCUAACGUUCUUGUGGUUAUGCCCACAUAGGAUGCUUGUUGGUUUGUUUGGUUUUCAGUAACCGGUAUGGUAUAUACCCCUGUUCUUCUAGUCUAUCUCUAGGUUCUUUUUCGUUUCGUAUGGCGUUAAAUACUGUAGGGGUGACACGAAUGGGCACAUGCCCGGGUGGUGUCGGGGUUCAAACCCCCUUGCCCAUCCUUCUUCUCAAAACUAAUUGUUGGAGAAAUUUUCAGUUCAUGUUCCACCAGCCAAUGUUUAAUCGUCGAAGCAUCCCACCAGUAUCAACCAUUAUCAAAAAAAUAAUUUUAUUAAGAGAAAUAAAGUAACUUACAAAAAAUGAACAAUUUAUCUCAA
rnacentral:lncRNA from 1 species